UCGCCUCUGGGAUGCAGAAGUACAAUGGAAAGCCCUGAAAAUAGUGGAUCUGGCACUUCAAUGUGCUCAACUCGAGGCAAAUGCGAGGCCUGCGAUGAGGGAUGUAGUAAGGUCUCUUGUCGAGUUAAAUCAUAGAUGUAAAGAGAAGAAAUGAAGCUUUUAACACUGUAACUCGGUUCAUUUUUCCAACUUCCAACAUAAUACAUGAUCCUGAAUCUUUCAUUUUAACUUUCUGACAACCAAUGCAACAACACAGAUUAAAAAAAUGAAUGAUGUUUCCAGUACAAAUUUAAAGUAUGUCCUAUUACUUCCUCCAGCUGCUCCAAAUUUUGAACAAAUUUCAGGUUUUAAAAUUAAAAAGAGAGCAAGAAUGGACAACGCAUUGCUACAAUCUAGUCCUAUUUUGUGGCUUAUAAAAAGAAAGAAGACUAGAAAAACAGCACUUCACAAUCAGCAGAAAAAGAUAGAUUUUGUUGGAUUUGAUAGAACUAAUGAUGAUGGCUCCUGCAAAAGAAUGCAAGAAUCGAUGAUGUCUGCCUUGCCCUUCUUCUUUGAGUACCAGACUUCCAAUGACUGAAUAAUUUCUAGAAAAGAAAAUCAAAGAGGAUAUGAUGAAUAGAAAUAGUUUGUGGAACAAUCAUUAUAUUUCAUGCAAAUACAGAUUUAAAUAAAAGAGACAUAACUCAGGUAUGGGUUAUGACAGAACUUCUAACAAGACUUGACUGAGAAAUGGCAAAUCAAAUAGGAAAAUCAGAAAAUGAGAGUAUAAUAAUAGUCCUUGUAGAAUUAAUCAAAACUCAGUAGAAAGGAAAUACUCAAGAGGUGCAAGAAUAAAUUGGUACUGCUACUACAAAUGACAAACAGAUGAAAGGCAUGUCUCAAUUAUGAAAACUGCAGCACCGGAGUUAGUACAAUGCGCACUAAUCAUCAGAGUAGAAAAAGUCCAAUUGAAACCUUUUCAGAAUCGUAUUGUUUAUCCAAUUGACUUGGAUGUGCAUUACAAACAAAUCCACGCAAGAUUUUGACUACUUUCAGGUUAAGUUUAUUCAUUAGAAUUUGCAUUGGACAUACUCACAUGACAACACUACACAUGUUGACAAGUUUCGGACUUCUAGCAAUAGAACUUCCAUUUUGGAGUCAGAUCCACUAAAUUCCCAAACUUCUACACUUAGAAAUGCAUUUCCGCGCCAAAAUAUUUGAGACGAAGUCCUAGAAUUUGGUGCUUGCUCCAGUACCAAAGCUAGUGCAAGCAGCUAAAAAGAGAAAGUAUAAAACAUUGAAGAGAAUAGUUUAGAUACGCGAUAAGCCGAUAACCAAGAUUGAAGAGGAAGAAGUUCUGCAUAGUUUCUCAAAAAGAGCUAAUCAUAUUCUACAUCCGAUCACAUUGCUGAAGUUAAAAGUAUAGUCAUAAAUGUUUGAAACCCUAGUCCAAAGGUAAGGUCCCUAGAAACAAGAAUCUACAGAAAUGCUCCAAGAAACAAAGUAACAUACUCAAAAGCUUUUCAAAUAGCCUCAAGGUGAAGAAUUUAAAACAAGGUUAGACUUGUCUGCUUCCUCAGUCUAAUAAAGUAUGAUUCAGGGCUCAGGAGUUUGUCUACUUUGAAUUUAGAGAACUACUCCAUUACUGGCUAUGUUACCUACAACUAACUUGUAAAUUAACAGCUCAAUGGACCUAUACAUUGUCUUGUUGGGUAUUCGAAUACUUACAACCAGCUAAAUUGAACAAUAGUUUAUUAAUAUACAUGGUCUAUGGACUAUUAAGCACAGAGCAACAUGACAAUAUUUUCAAUGAAAGUAAAACAUCACCAUGAGGAGGAUGGAAUGUCCAAUCACGUCAUAAAGAAUUAGAUACAUAAUAGAGCUUGGCAAUCUGUUUGAUUAACACUAAACAAUGCUAACUUUUAGAAAAAGCUCGAGUUCUACAAUUCUUUCAUAUUUUCUUCACAACUGUUCCAAUCAAUCAUGAUAAUGUAUAUCUAUCUGCAAGAAUAUUUCAACGAAACAUAUUUUUUGUCAUUUGAUUUUACAUAUAUUAAAUGAAAUAAAGGACCUAAAAGUCAGGUUACUAGACGAAUAUUGAUAAGUUCCAAACCACAUCUGUUUGCCUCAAUCUCUUUUUGUCAAUCAAUACCAUUAUACAUGAUAAGGGAACAAACUUAAAGGACAAUAUGAUGUAUACCAGCUUUUGCAUAUGAUCAAUGAUGGAUCAAUUCCUAGUUGACGCAAACAUGACAAAUAAAGCCUAUGGCAAGAUACGGAACCAACAAAACCUCUCCCGCUCGGUGUAUUGAAGUCCAUUGCCCCCAUUCUGGGUACUCAAUAGAAGUCCAAAACAUAUCGAGUAUCUAAUUACCAAGUCUACCAGAUGAGUUCCAGAACUGGAGAUUUCAAAAGGUUUUUUUUACUGAUUAACCAGCUGACUAAGAAAUAACACUAUGCUGCUAGGUGAAAUUACAUUGUUACAUUGUCUCUGUAUAGGUCACACGUUUGAGCCGUGGAAUCAGCCACUGAUGCUUGCAUUAGGGUAUAUCGAUAGACUACCUACAUCACACCUCUUGGGGUGCGGCCUUUUCUGACCCUGCGUGAAUGUGGGAUAAUUUGUGCACAUGCUUCCUUUUUAUACUAUAUAUUGAAUCCCUCGGCUUCUUUGUCUAUUUAAUUCUCUAUAUUUUGACUACUUUUAGUGAAAAUACUGGUUAUGCCACGAGCUAACUAGUGAAAUAAUAAAGCAAGGAUGUGAAGAGAAAAGGAAGAUAUGAGAAAUAUAUUCUUGAGCAAUAAAAUAGGAAGAUGAAGAGCAUUAUUUGAUCGCGAAGCUGCGAACCAAGAGCACACAAGAGAUAUCAGCAACAUCAGACUUUAGUCACAGUCAUAAUACGCCAUCUAUUCUGUUGUUUUUCACUUGAAUCAGCUUCAGAUUCUUUGUUAAAUUUUAGAGAGCCGAAAUUGGGAAAAGCAUUGUACCUGUUGAUUGAUGGAUCGGAGCAUGGGAAACAAAGCAAUUCAAAUUAUAAAAGAUAAUGCAUAGCUAUUACUACUUCAGAAAAUCAUUUUUGAACAUUAAAUAGAUUGGAUUGAUAUAAUUUUGUGAAGC
rnacentral:lncRNA from 1 species